rnacentral:rRNA from 1 species
UACGGAGGGUGCAAGCGUUAAUCGGAAUUACUGGGCGUAAAGCGCACGCAGGUGGCUGAGUCAGUCGAUUGUGAAAGCCCUGGGCUUAACCUGGGAAUUGCAGUCGAUACUACUCAGCUAGAGUAUGGGAGAGGGCAGUGGAAUUCCCGGUGUAGCGGUGAAAUGCGCAGAUAUCGGGAAGAACACCCGUGGCGAAGGCGGCUCACUGGCCCGGCACUGACGCUGAGGCGCGAAAGCGUGGGGAGCAAACAGG